UGGGGAAUAUUGCACAAUGGGCGCAAGCCUGAUGCAGCCAUGCCGCGUGUAUGAAGAAGGCCUUCGGGUUGUAAAGUACUUUCAGCGGGGAGGAAGGUGUUGAGGUUAAUAACCUCAGCAAUUGACGUUACCCGCAGAAGAAGCACCGGCUAACUCCGUGCCAGCAGCCGCGGUAAUACGGAGGGUGCAAGCGUUAAUCGGAAUUACUGGGCGUAAAGCGCACGCAGGCGGUCUGUCAAGUCGGAUGUGAAAUCCCCGGGCUCAACCUGGGAACUGCAUUCGAAACUGGCAGGCUAGAGUCUUGUAGGGGGUGGUAGAAUUCCAGGUGUAGCGGUGAAAUGCGUAGAGAUCUGGAGGAA
rnacentral:rRNA from 1 species